rnacentral:ribozyme from 1 species
UAGAAAUGCAGCACUGGUACAGGUACGGAUCCGACACCUUUCGAAGAAUACUUAGGCUCUCCGUACCCUACUCCUACUCAAAACGUCCCCGACGUACAGAACGGUAACAUGUCUCUCCGCAUAUCUGAGCUUGGGUACACGGGGAAACCCAACCCCUUGGGAGGAUGGAAGCCAUGGCUAAUUUGAGAGGA